rnacentral:rRNA from 1 species
CACGAAGUGAGUGGCGAACGGGUGAGUAACACGUGGGUAACCUGCCCAGAAGUAGGGGAUAACACCUGGAAACAGAUGCUAAUACCGUAUAACAGAGAAAACCGCAUGGUUUUCUUUUAAAAGAUGGCUCUGCUAUCACUUCUGGAUGGACCCGCGGCGUAUUAGCUAGUUGGUGAGGUAAAGGCUCACCAAGGCAGUGAUACGUAGCCGACCUGAGAGGGUAAUCGGCCACAUUGGGACUGAGACACGGCCCAGACUCCUACGGGAGGCAGCAGUAGGGAAUCUUCCACAAUGGACGCAAGUCUGAUGGAGCAACGCCGCGUGAGUGAAGAAGGGUUUCGGCUCGUAAAGCUCUGUUGUUAAAGAAGAACGUGGGUAAGAGUAACUGUUUACCCAGUGACGGUAUUUAACCAGAAAGCCACGGCUAACUACGUGCCAGCAGCCGCGGUAAUACGUAGGUGGCAAGCGU